rnacentral:lncRNA from 1 species
AGGUGACUCCGAUUCUUCUUGAAACAGGUCUUCGCUACUGCCGCCGUUGCCCUUACCGCCUCCGGGGAUCUAUCCCACCCUUUUCUCGCUAGGGUUGGGACUUCGGAGACAGAAUGAGGUGAGAUGGGGUGAGAGCUGUUACAUGCACUGGAGAACGCGACUGAGAAGGACAGAGACGGGAAGAGGAGUUUGCAGCUCG